rnacentral:rRNA from 1 species
GACGAACGCUGGCGGUGUGCUUCACACAUGCAAGUCGAACGGGGUAGCAAUACCCAGUGGCGGACGGGUGAGUAACGCGUGGGAAUCUGCCUCGAGAUGGGGGAUAACUGACCGAAAGGUUAGCUAAUACCGCAUAUGCCGAAAGGUGAAAGGAGUAAUCCGUCUUGAGAUGAGCCUGCGUCCGAUUAGCUAGUUGGUAAGGUAAAGGCUUACCAAGGCUAUGAUCGGUAGCUGGUCUGAGAGGAUGAUCAGCCACAAUGGAACUGAGACACGGUCCAUACUCCUACGGGAGGCAGCAGUGGGAAUUUGUGCAAUGGGGGAAACCCUGACACAGCGACACCGCGUGAGCGAAGAAGCCCUUUGGGGUGUAAAGCUCUGUCAGCUGGAACGAAUAAAUGACGGUACCAGCAGAGGAAGCAUCGGCUAACUACGUGCCAGCAGCCGCGGUAA